ACCUUAAAAAGGGGCUGAAUCAAAAUCCAGAGCUGAACUUCAGACUCUUUUUGACUAAACUCAGAGCAGAUUUCAAUCUCUAGGAUUGGAGAAGACUCCUUCCUUAGCAUGCAGCAGGAGGGGCAGAGGUAGGUGGGCAGGACCCGGGUUUGGGCAGACAUCUCAGUUGGUAAUUUCCUGAUUUAGUUUGUUUGUUUUAUUCUCAACCUUUUGCUGUGGAAAUACAAAGCUGUGUACCAACUGCAAGACGUGCACAAGGAAAUGUUUGUCAUGUAAUACAGGACAAAAGGCAAGAAUUGGUAUUACUGAAGAAACAAUUUGCAGCUGAAGAAGCUGAAUAUGAAGCUAUGGUCUUCUGCUCAUCUAAAGCUGCAGUAGUUUUGUCUUGCACUUAAGGCACUGGACUGGGAAUCAGAAGAUCUGGAUACAGUUUCUGGCUCUGCAAGAUUUUCUGCAUACCCUGGUGCAAGUCAUUUAAUGUCUCUGUGACUAAAUUCCUCAUCUAAAAAAUGGGGAUAAUAAUAAGCUAUUCAUGAAAAGUGAUGAUUAUAUUAAAACAAGCUACUGGAAAACCACAAAGAACUACUCAACAGAUUUUCUAAGACUUGAUAUAAUUGUUGUGGUAAACUGGGCUUCAGUUAACAUUUGCUGAGUAGUAUUUAGAAGUUAGUGCAGAUGCUGUUAGUGUGAAGUACAGUAGAUCCCCAAUUUAUGAACAUCAGUCUUGUGAACCACCAGUUAUAUGCAUGAUAUUUCUGCUGCCAAAGUCAUCCUUUCUGCUUCCAAAAGUGACUUCAGUCCUUCAGGCCAGCAUUCAAGGAUCUGUCCAGGUUUGAAAAGACAGAGAUUUGGUGACAAAGUUCUCUCAAACAAGAAAAAUCAGGCACACAGUAAUAUGAGUUACCAUUAGUUAUGUACACUAUCAUUGAAUGAUUAAGAAAUUCACUAUGCACUGUAUCUACUGUAUUUUGAAAUGUCAGUGUUAUGAACUCCUUAAUUCCCAAUUAAUUUAUAAAAUAGGGGUGUCUACUGUACUUUAAUCUACUACUAUUCAAGUUUGUCUUAGGUCACCUGACAUUCACAUGGCAAUCAUACGAGGGUUGCCAGCUUUCUAAUCUCACAAAACCAAACCCCCUGCCCCUCCCCUUCCAUGAGCCCUGCCCCUGCCCCACC